rnacentral:rRNA from 1 species
UACAGAGGUCUCAAGCGUUGUUCGGAUUCAUUGGGCGUAAAGGGUGCGUAGGCGGCGCGGUAAGUCGGGUGUGAAAUCUCGGGGCUUAACUCCGAAACUGCAUUCGAUACUGCCGUGAUUGAGGACUGGAGAGGAGACUGGAAUUUACGGUGUAGCGGUGAAAUGCGUAGAUAUUGGGAAGAACACCGGUGGCGAAGGCGGCCAUCUGGCCCGUUAUUGACGCUGAGGCGCGAAAGCGUGGGGAGCAAACAGG